rnacentral:rRNA from 1 species
CAGRAACUUGGAGGAAUGUAUAGCAAUAGCUAAUUGCACCAACAAACAGUUGAUGCAAUAUCGACUAUGUCGAAUAAAAUUCUAGGUAUAGUUAUGAUAAUGACAUUUUAUGCCUAUGUGUCUUGACCAAAUUACGUGCCAGCAGUCGCGGUAAUACGUAGAAGACUAGUGUUAUUCAUCUUUAAUUGGUUUAAAGGGUACUUAGACGGUAAAUCAAGCCUUAAAACAAGGGACUAUUUUACUAGAGUUACAUGUGAGGGGGCUAUCAGGUACUGACGGUGGAGAGAUGAAAUUCUGUCAUUCCUUUGAAGGCACAGGUAUAGGCGAAAGCAUCCCAUUAUGUGAUAACUGACGUUGAGGGACGAAGGCUUUUGUAGCGAACAGGAUUAGUUACCCCAGUAGUCCAAGCAGAAAAUGAUGAAUGUCAUAGAUUAGAUAAAAAUAUUUAGUCUAUAAAUGAAAGUGUAAGCAUUCCACCUCAAGAGUAAUUUGGCAACAUUGGAACUGAAAUCAUUAGACCGUUUCUGAAACCAGUAGUGAAGUAUGUUGUUUAAUUUGAUAAUCCGCAAAAAACCUUACCACAAUUUGAAUAUUUAUAUUUUAAUAUAUUUACAAGCGUUGCACGGCUGUCUUCAGUUAAUGUCGUGAGACUUUGGUUAGUUCCAUUAAAUUAACGUAAACCCUUACUUUAUUUUUUAUAUAAAGUGGUUCCCCGCUAUAUUGGAUAUGAUAACAGGGACUAGGACAAGUCAUCAUGGCCUAAAUAUUGUGGGCUAUAGACGUGCCACAUAAACCCCA